rnacentral:rRNA from 1 species
GACGUAGGGCGCGAGCGUUGUCCGGAUUUAUUGGGCGUAAAGAGCUCGUAGACGGCUUGUCGCGUCGACUGUGAAAUCCCGCGGCUCAACUGCGGGUCUGCAGUCGAUACGGGCAGGCUAGAGUUCGGUAGGGGAGACUGGAAUUCCUGGUGUAGCGGUGAAAUGAUGCAGAUAUCAGGAGGAACACCGGUGGCGAAGGCGGGUCUCUGGGCCGAUACUGACGCUGAGGAGCGAAAGCGUGGGGAGCGAACAGG